rnacentral:rRNA from 1 species
UACGUAGGGGGCAAGCGUUGUCCGGAAUCAUUGGGCGUAAAGAGCGCGUAGGCGGUCCGGUAAGUCCGCUCUGAAAGUCGGGGGCUCAACCCUCGAAUGCCGGUGGAUACUGUCGGGCUAGAGUGCGGAAGAGGCGAGUGGAAUUCCUGGUGUAGCGGUGAAAUGCGCAGAUAUCAGGAGGAACACCUAUUGCGAAGGCAGCUCGCUGGGACGUAACUGACGCUAAGACGCGAAAAGCGUGGGGAGCAAACAGGG